rnacentral:ncRNA from 1 species
CACAAAGGUCUAGUCCUAGCCUUAAAAUCAAUUUCUUCAUGACUUACACAUGCAAGUCUCCGCACACCCGUGAAAACGCCCUUUCCUCCCACCCCGGACCAAGGAGCUGAUAUCAGGCGUUAUAAUACACCCAAGACAUCUAGCCACGCCACACCCCCAAGGGUAACCAGCAGUGAUCAACAUUAAAAAUUAACGUCAGUUUGAUUUAGCCAAUGAAAAUAGAGCCGGCCAACCUGGUGCCAGCCGCCGCGGUUAAACCACGCGGCUCAAAUUGAUACUCCACCGGCGUAAAGCGUGAUUAAAGACACCAACCCACUGGGGUAAAACCAUAACUAAACUGUAAAAUACUUGUUAUCAGGAAACCCUAACCCGAAAGAUACCCCACUCGCUUUCUUGAACUCACGAUAAUUAGGUCAUAAACUGGGAUUAGAUACCCCACUAUACCUAGUCAUAAACUUUUGAUUUACACCAACAUCGCCAGGGAACUACGAGCCAAGCUUAAAACCCAAAGGACUUGACGGUACCCUGCAUCCACCUAGAGGAGCCUGUCCUAUAAUCGAUAACCCCCGUUUAACCUCACCACUUUUAGCUUACCAGCCUGUAUACUUCCGUCGUCAGCUUACCACAUGAGUGUGAUCCAGUAGGCUUAAUGUACCCCACUACAACACGUCAGGUCAAAGUGCAGCAAAUAAAGUGGGAAGAGAUGGGCUACACUUUCUAUGUUAGAAAACACGAAAGAUUAUAUGAAAUACCAUCAGAAGGCGGAUUUAGUAGUAAGUGGAAAAUAGAGUAUUCCAUUUAACUCGGCACCGGGGUGUGUACACACCGCCCGUCACCCUCUUCAAUUAAUCCAACCAGUAUAUAACAACUUACUUACACUAGAAGAGGCAAGUCGUAACAUGGUAAGUAUACCGGAAGGUGUACUUGGAAA